GGAAUAUUGGACAAUGGGCGCAAGCCUGAUCCAGCCAUGCCGCGUGCAGGAUGACGGUCCUAUGGAUUGUAAACUGCUUUUAUACGAGAAGAAACAUCCCGACGUGUCGGGACUUGACGGUAUCGUAAGAAUAAGGAUCGGCUAACUCCGUGCCAGCAGCCGCGGUAAUACGGAGGAUCCAAGCGUUAUCCGGAAUCAUUGGGUUUAAAGGGUCCGUAGGCGGUUUAAUAAGUCAGUGGUGAAAGCCCAUCGCUCAACGGUGGAACGGCCAUUGAUACUGUUAGACUUGAAUUAUUAGGAAGUAACUAGAAUAUGUAGUGUAGCGGUGAAAUGCUUAGAGAUUACAUGGAGUACCAAUUGCGAAGGCAGGUUACUACUAAUUGAUUGACACUGAGAGGCGAAAGCUAGGGGAGCGAAUGGGAUUAGAUACCCGUG
rnacentral:rRNA from 1 species